GAGGUAGUGACAAGAAAUAACAAUACAGGACUUUUUGGUUUUGUAAUUGGAAUGAGUUAAGUAUAAACCCCUUUACAAGUAUCAAUUGGAGGGCAAGUCUGGUGCCAGCAGCCGCGGUAAUUCCAGCUCCAAUAGCGUAUAUUAAAGUUGUUGCAGUUAAAAAGCUCGUAGUUGGAUUUCUGUUAAUAAUUUAUAUAAAAUAUUUUAAUUAAUAUUUAUAUAAUAUUAACAUAAUUCAUAUUACUAUAAUUAUUUUUUAGUAUAUGAAAUUUUACUUUGAGAAAAUUAGAGUGCUUAAAGCAG
rnacentral:rRNA from 1 species